UUCAUCGUUUCCUUUGCUUCU
rnacentral:piRNA from 1 species